rnacentral:rRNA from 1 species
CGGCGGACGGGGGAGUAACGCGUGGGUAACCUGCCUCAUACAGGGGGAUAACAGUUGGAAACGGCUGCUAAUACCGCAUAAGCGCACAGUACCGCAUGGUACGGUGUGAAAAACUCCGGUGGUAUGAGAUGGACCCGCGUCUGAUUAGGUAGUUGGUGGGGUAACGGCCUACCAAGCCGACGAUCAGUAGCCGACCUGAGAGGGUGACCGGCCACAUUGGGACUGAGACACGGCCCAA